UACGGAGGGUGCGAGCGUUGUCCGGAAUCACUGGGCGUAAAGGGCGCGUAGGCGGUUCGUUAAGUUGCUGGUGAAAUCCCGGGGCUCAACUCCGGGGCUGCCGGCAAGACUGGCGGGCUCGAGCACGGUAGAGGCAGAUGGAAUUCCCGGUGUAGCGGUGGAAUGCGUAGAGAUCGGGAAGAAUACCGGUGGCGAAGGCGUUCUGCUGGGCCGUUGCUGACGCUGAGGCGCGACAGCGUGGGGAGCAAACAGG
rnacentral:ncRNA from 2 species